UUCAGGCCUAACACAUGCAAGUCGAGGGGUAAGGCUCUUUCGGGAGUACACGACCGGCGCACGGGUGAGUAUCGCGUAUGCAACCUGCCUUUAACUGGGGGAUAGCCCGGAGAAAUCCGGAUUAAUACCCCAUAACACUACAGGGUCGCCUGACCCAGUAAUCAAAGCUCCGGCGGUUAAAGAUGGGCAUGCGUGGCAUUAGUUUGUUGGUGAGGUAACGGCUCACCAAGACUACGAUGCCUAGGGGGUCUGAGAGGAUGGUCCCCCACACUGGUACUGAGACACGGACCAGACUCCUACGGGAGGCAGCAGUGAGGAAUAUUGGGCAAUGGACGCAAGUCUGACCCAGCCAUGCCGCGUGCAGGAUGACUGCCCUAUGGGUUGUAAACUGCUUUUGUACGGGAAGAAACCCUCCGACGUGUCGGAGGUUGACGGUACCGUACGAAUAAGCAUCGGCUAACUCCGUGCCA
rnacentral:rRNA from 1 species